rnacentral:rRNA from 1 species
UCGUUAAGUCCGCUAACGAGCGCAACCCUCGCUGUGUGUUAUAUGUGUCACACGGGACUGCCGGUCUUAAGCCGGAGGAAGGUGGGGGAGUGAUGUCAAGUCAGCAUGGCCUUUAUAUCCUGGGCUACACACACGCUACAAUGGCCAACACAAUAGGUUGCUAAGCCGCGAGGUGGCGCCAAUCCAUAAAGUUGGUCUCAGUUCAGAUUGUAGGCUGCAACCCGCCUGCAUGAAGAUGGAGUUGCUAGUAACCGCAGGUCAGCUAUACUGCGGUGAAUACGUUCCCGGGGCUU